rnacentral:rRNA from 1 species
AACGAACGCUGGCGGCAUGCCUUACACAUGCAAGUCGAACGGCAGCACGGGAGCAAUCCUGGUGGCGAGUGGCGAACGGGUGAGUAAAGUAUCGGAACGUGCCCAGUCGUGGGGGAUAACGUAGCGAAAGUUACGCUAAUACCGCAUACGAUCUAUGGAUGAGAGCGGGGGAUCGCAAGACCUCGCGCGAUUGGAGCGGCCGAUAUCAGAUUAGGUAGUUGGUGGGGUAAAGGCCCACCAAGCCGACGAACUGUAGCUGGUCUGAGAGGACGACCAGCCACACUGGGACUGAGACACGGCCCAGACUCCUACGGGAGGCAGCAGUGGGGAAUGUUGGACAAUGGGCGAAAGCCUGAUCCAGCCAUGCCGCGUGCAGGAUGAAGGCCUUCGGGUUGUAAACUGCUUUUGUACGGAACGAAAAGGACUGCCCUAAUACGGUGGUCCCAUGACGGUACCGUAAGAGUAAGCACCGGCUAACUACGUGCCAGCCGCCGCCGUAA